rnacentral:lncRNA from 1 species
GCUUCUCGGGUGUGUUUCUUAGUGGAAAUUGAUGGUACUGGUUGAAUCUGUGAGGCAGUUAGAGGAGGUGGGUUAAGAGAGAUUUUCUAUCUUACCUCCCUUCUUUCCUGGAAUGGGUAAGAACAGAAGAGAUUCUGUUAAACACAAAUUCGUAUCGUUUAUGAAGUACUUCCUCCAUACCUAUCACUGAAAACUAGAUGUGUAAGGAGAAAAACAGGAAGUACCUCAAACCUCUUGGAUUUUACAUUCAAGGUGGGGAGAUAUUUCCAUAGAUGACACAGAAUAAUAAAAAGUAGAAAGAAUUGAAAUGUGAAAGUGUGGGAUCCAGAUGAAUCGUAAGGAAUUUGGCCAAGCCAAGAAGCAUCACCUCCAAGUCUGUGGUUUCUACAGGGUGCUCCAGGGGCUCCCACCUGGGUGGGACUAGUUCGCAUGAAUUUGGAGACAAGGGUGUGUCUAAUCGAAAUUGGGCAACGGAACUAAAGAGAACGUAUCAUAUUUGGCCUUCUAAUUUCUUCUUUUUGGGUGGGGUCCUUUUGGAUCUCCCUGUCUUAACUGAGUUUUGCAGGCUCACACAGGGCUUCCCAGGGCCCAGACUGAUGACGGAUGAUAGGCUGAACAGACACUUGGGAAUGUCUUGCUCUUUGCAGAUACUGCGUGUGUCCUGGGCGGAGGAGGAGAGCCAUAUGCAAGCCUGUAGUACAGUCCUAUGAGCAAAAACUCAGACAUCUUUGAGCGAUAGAAGAGACAACUGGGCCGGGGGCCAGUUCAGUGCGGACCUACAUUUCAACCACCAUGAUGAAGAUGGGGCCUCCACGUGAAAAGUAACUACAAAACAGAACCAGAAAAUAGUCAUGCUGUUCAAAUAAAGAGACUGUGGCUCAGAAAAUACAAGCAACUUAUAAAAGAGAAAUAUCUGGACCACAAAGAGUCAACUCAUAGCUUUAUCUAAGGCUCCAGGGCUCUGAAGGUCAUGGGUGAACAAUUUUUUUAAUGAAGGAAAAUAAAUGAAUUAACGUGGUGACUUGUCCAGUUAAGCCAAAGAAGCCACACCAAGUGUUAGAGGACCACAGAGGAACCAGAGAGGAUCUGGGAAACCACCCAGGUGUUCAUUGUCUCCAAAGAGCUAAACCUUGCCUCAGAAAAAUGACCUUCUCCUAUCUUUCCUGCUGCAGCAAGAACCUCUGGUUUAACCAAUUAGCCUUACUGAAGUCUGCCCUGGGGACAAAUUGGAAACCUAUAACCUUAGGACAGCAAGGUAAGGAGAGCCAAUGCACAGCCCCUUCACUUCUCUGGCCCCUCAGUCCCCUCUUGUCUUAAUUGGGCAGUGUGGGUCAAACGCUGCACACGUCCCUUCUGAUUCUGCACGCA